GUGAGGAAUAUUGGUCAAUGGGCGCAAGCCUGAACCAGCCAUGCCGCGUGCAGGAAGACGGUCCUAUGGAUUGUAAACUGCUUUUAUUUGGGAAUAAACUCCGGUACGUGUACCUGCCUGAAGGUACCAAAUGAAUAAGCACCGGCUAACUCCGUGCCAGCAGCCGCGGUAAUACGGAGGGUGCAAGCGUUAUCCGGAAUCAUUGGGUUUAAAGGGUCCGCAGGCGGUCUUAUAAGUCAGUGGUGAAAGCCUACAGCUCAACUGUAGAACUGCCAUUGAUACUGUAGGACUUGAAUUCGAUCGAAGUGGGCGGAAUGUGACAUGUAGCGGUGAAAUGCUUAGAUAUGUCACAGAACACCGAUAGCGAAGGCAGCUCACUAGGUCUGGAUUGACGCUCAGGGACGAAAGCGUGGGGAGCAAACAGGAUUAGAAACCCUUGUAGUCC
rnacentral:rRNA from 1 species